rnacentral:rRNA from 1 species
GAUCCUGGCUCAGGAUGAACGCUAGCUACAGGCUUAACACAUGCAAGUCGAGGGGAAACGACAUUGGAAGCUUGCUUCCGAUGGGCGUCGACCGGCGCACGGGUGAGUAACGCGUAUCCAACCUGCCCACCACUUGGGGAUAACCUUGCGAAAGUAAGACUAAUACCCAAUGAUAUCCCACGAAGGCAUCGGAAUGGGAUUAAAGAUUUAUCGGUGAUGGAUGGGGAUGCGUCUGAUUAGCUUGUUGCGGGGUAACGGCCCACCAAGGCAACGAUCAGUAGGGGUUCUGAGAGGAAGGUCCCCCACAUUGGAACUGAGACACGGUCCAAACUCCUACGGGAGGCAGCAGUGAGGAAUAUUGGUCAAUGGGCGAGAGCCUGAACCAGCCAAGUAGCGUGCAGGAUGACGGCCCUAUGGGUUGUAAACUGCUUUUAUAAGGGAAUAAAGUGAGCCUCGUGAGGCUUUUUGCAUGUACCUUAUGAAUAAGGACCGGCUAAUUCCGUG